rnacentral:rRNA from 1 species
AUUGAACGCUGGCGGCAUGCCUUACACAUGCAAGUCGAACGGUAACAGGUCUUCGGAUGCUGACGAGUGGCGAACGGGUGAGUAAUACAUCGGAACGUGCCUAGUAGUGGGGGAUAACUACUCGAAAGAGUGGCUAAUACCGCAUGAGAUCUACGGAUGAAAGCAGGGGAUCGCACGACCUCGUGCUACUAUAGCGGCCGAUGGCAGAUUAGGUAGUUGGUGGGAUAAAAGCUUACCAAGCCGACGACCUGUAGUUGGUCUGAGAGGACGAUCAGCCACACUGGGACUGAGACACGGCCCAGACUCCUACGGGAGGCAGCAGUGGGGAAUUUUGGACAAUGGGCGAAAGCCUGAUCCAGCAAUGCCGCGUGCAGGAUGAAGGCCUUCGGGUUGUAAACUGCUUUUGUACGGAACGAAAAGCCCCGGGUUAAUACCCUGGGGUCAUGACGGUACCGUAAGAAUAAGCACCGGCUAACUACGUGCCAGCCGCCGCCGUAA